GACGAACGCUGGCGGCGUGCUUAACACAUGCAAGUCGAACGGAAAGGCCCUGCUUUUGUGGGGUGCUCGAGUGGCGAACGGGUGAGUAACACGUGAGUAACCUGCCCUUGACUUUGGGAUAACUUCAGGAAACUGGGGCUAAUACCGGAUAGGAGCUCCUGCUGCAUGGUGGGGGUUGGAAAGUUUCGGCGGUUGGGGAUGGACUCGCGGCUUAUCCGCUUGUUGGUGAGGUAGUGGCUUACCAAGGCUUUGACGGGUAGCCGGCCUGAGAGGGGGACCGGCCACAAUAGGACUGAGAGACGGCCCAGACGCCUACGGGAGGCAGCAGUGGGGAAUAUUGCACAAUGGGCGGAAGCCUGAUGCAGCAACGCCGCGUGCGGGAUGACGGCCUUCGGGGUGUAAACCGCUGUCGCCGGUGACGAAGCGUGAGUGACGGUAAUGGGUAAAGAAGCACCGGCUAACUACGUG
rnacentral:rRNA from 1 species